rfam:Dipodomys ordii contig_22833, whole genome shotgun sequence.
CCAAAGGCUCUUUUCAGAGCCACCCACUGCGCCCUCGGAAGGAGCU